rnacentral:tRNA from 1 species
GCCUGUCUAGCUUAGUCGGUAAAUACAAGGUUCUUAACCUUGUGGUUGUGGGUUCAAGCCCCACGGUGGGUG